rnacentral:lncRNA from 1 species
UUAGAUGAAUAUGCCACAUUGGUGCUUGCUCAGUAGAUAAAUGGAGUAAUGUAUGGGUACAAGGACCCAUCUUGUGUGUCCAGCCAUCUGGAAUACCUCUGAGCCUUGAGUUCUAGACAACUUAGACAUCGCACUCCUAACCAGUGUGAUAGUGCCUUUAGAAAUUCAAAACUCUUGACAAGGAUAUCAGUAAGUUCAUCAUGUUGUAAGACUACUGAUUUUUGGUCUGGACAGACAGGACCUCAGCAAUGAUAGAAAAAUUCAACGAGGAGAAUGUAAGUCAUUAGCAAUAGAUGCAUGUUUAGCUAGCAACAAUUUUCAUUUAUACAGUAUGCCCAUGUUUAUUUAAGCGUUGGGAAGGUUUGUGAACCUGAAGUACUCAGGCAAUGAGGAACUAGGGGAGAAAAAGAUAAGCAUUAGGUAAUAAGACAUGCUCUUUCCUUUGCAAUAGGGUUUCUUUGCUUUUUAAAUUCAGUAUCAUUUCUUGCCAUUAUACGGUGUUUCUCUUUUCUUGUUUUUUCAUGUUGCCAAUCAACACCUUGUUGGAGCUUGGGUGACCCAAAUGCAGACAAAUAAGUUUUGACCAAGAGCAAUGUGAAAUGAAGAGGUAGACUCCAAAAACAGGCUUCUGGCUGCCAAUCGGCGCCUUGUUGGAGCUACAGUGACACAAAUGCAAACUACUCUGCAUUGACCAAGUGAGAUGCAAAAAGAGGAGGACUGGAGAUUCCACCACCAGAUGCCAUUGCCCUUCCUGAUCUCUGUGGCAUUGGAGAACUGUGGCCCUCUGAGACGUGCGAGGACUCUACUGAGGCUCUUGGUGGAUGCAGCAGGAAACCAAAGCCGUAGUGACUCAAAUGCUGACUGCUCUGCUUUGACCUAGUGAGAUGGAAAAUGAAGAGGUAGGCUCCAAAACAGGCUU